rnacentral:rRNA from 1 species
UACAGAGGUCUCGAGCGUUCAACGGAUUCAUUGGGCUUAAAGCGUACGUAGGCGGGUGUGCAGGCGUCGUGUGAAAGCCCUCGGCUCAACCGAGGAAUUGCACGGCGAACCGCACAUCUUGAGACAAGUAGGGGCGGUCGGAACGAUAGGUGGAGUGGUGAAAUGCGUUGAUAUCUAUCGGAACGCCGAUGGUGAAGACAGGCCGCUGGGCUUGUUCUGACGCUGAGGUACGAAAGCAUGGGUAGCGAAC